rnacentral:rRNA from 1 species
UGUCUAAGUAUGAAUAUCUCUAUACUGUGAAACUGCGAAUGGCUCAUUAAAUCAGUUAUAGUUUACUUGAUGGUAACCUUACUCGGAUAACUGUACCAAUUGUAGAGCUAAUACGUGCACCAAGUCCCGACUUCUGGAAGGGAUGUAUUUAUUAGAUACAAAGCCAAUGCGGGCUUCGGCCCGGUACAGUGGCGAGUCAUGAUAACUGCUCGAAUCGCAUGGCCUAAGCGCCGGCGAUGGUUCAUUCAAAUUUCUGCCCUAUCAACUUUCGAUGGUAGGGUAUUGGCCUACCAUGGUUACAACGGGUAACGGAGAAUUAGGGUUCGAUUCCGGAGAGGGAGCCUGAGAAACGGCUACCACAUCCAAGGAAGGCAGCAGGCGCGCAAAUUACCCAAUCCCGACUCGGGGAGGUAGUGACAAUAAAUAACAAUGCUGGGCUAUUUUGGUCUGGCAAUUGGAAUGAGAACAAUAUAAAUCCCUUAACGAGGAACAAUUGGAGGGCAAGUCUGGUGCCAGCAGCCGCGGUAAUUCCAGCUCCAAUAGCGUAUAUUAAAGUUGUUGCAGUUAAAAAGCUCGUAGUUGGGUUUCGGAGCGGUCAGGCUGGUCCGCCGAGAGGCGAGUACUGGCCGGCCGCUCUUCCUCUCGGAGUCCCUGUCUGCUCUUUGUUGCAGUGGGCAGGGAAUUCGGGACGUUUACUUUGAAAAAAUUAGAGUGUUCAAAGCAGGCGAUUGCUUGAAUACAUUAGCAUGGAAUAAUGGAAUAGGACCUCGGUCCUAUUUCGUUGGUUUCCAGGACCGAAGUAAUGAUUAAUAGGGACAGUUGGGGGCAUUCGUAUUUAAUUG